rnacentral:rRNA from 1 species
UACAGAGGUCCCAAGCGUUGUUCGGAUUCAUUGGGCGUAAAGGGCGCGUAGGCGGCCAGCGCAAGUCAGUUGUGAAAUCUCCGGGCUUAACUCGGAAAGGUCAACUGAUACUGCGCGGCUAGAGUGCAGAAGGGGCAACUGGAAUUCUCGGUGUAGCGGUGAAAUGCGUAGAUAUCGAGAGGAACACCUGCGGCGAAGGCGGGUUGCUGGGCUGACACUGACGCUGAUGCGCGAAAGCCAGGGGAGCGAACGGG